ACACGUUGAUAAUCGCUGUGUAGGAUCGCCGACUGUGUGGGAUUUGGUGAGGGGAUGGUUACGUGUCCAUCAUCGUCGAAAGGUCUGCUUCGACUGCAACGUCUUGACUUUUCUUUCCGUUUCAACUUGUCUCUCACAAGCCUCUGCUUCAGUCGCUCUUGAUCGUCGCCUUUUCUAAGGCGUCCGAGGGACAAAAACCGAAAUCUAAACCUCCACCACAAAUGAAGUCACGAACGCCACUCUCACUCACCCUCCACUGUUGCACACGAACCCAAUCAUAAUUCUGAAAUCCAAACAUAACCCAGAUGUUAAUCCUUCAGAGAAUGGCAAUGGCCACUUCUUCUUCCUUCCUCUCAAUCCCUCUCCUAAAGACCUCUUCUUUGCUUUCCCCAAUUAAACACUGCGCUUCGCCACUGAGCUCCGAGUUCAGGGCUAUCCCUCUACGGCGGUAGAAAUGGAGUCUUCACCUCCUCGGCGAUGGCCACGAAAUCAAACACCAGAAGCACAAAGGCGGCCAGUUUCUCUUGCUUCUCAGAGUUAUAGAAAUGAAACACCUCAGCCAAAUCCAGUAACAAGCUCAUUCCCGGAGUCCUCAGUGUCAUCCAAUAUCUCGUCAUCAGAUACCGGCAUGGAAUACUCAAGCCCUCCUUUAAGACAAAGGCGAACGGCAAACGUUGAGGAAGUUGAAUCUUCAUGAUGUAUGAUAUAUGUUUUAGUUACUGCUCAUUUGUUUGUACCAUGUGCAUCAGAUUAAGGUCACUACUCAUUUGUGCCAUGGUUUUCAUUCUUUUUUAUUUUGUUUCUUGUUGUAGUUACUCAUUCUCGGUAAUCAACUGAUAGUAAGGGCUGGUUUGGUAUUGCUGUGCUUUAAAAAAAAACUGGUUUUGCUGUGUUGUGAGAAUAAGCAGCUGUGAAAUAAAGUAGUGUUUGGUAAAUUUUUUUGUAAAAGUGCUUUUGAAAAAAAAAAUAUUAUAAUGUUUUGUAAACUUUUAUGUAAAACAGAUGUGAAAAAAAGUCAGUUUUUCAAAGAUGGGCUUUGUAGCUUCUUGUUUUUGGCUUUUUUUCACCCAAAACUAUGAAAAAAAAGCUGAAGUUGAAUAUUUACCAAACACAAAAAAGCUCCCAACUUUUUUUUUAUACCAAUUUUUUUUCAGAAUCACCUCAGUACCAAACCAGGGCUAAGUUCUCUCUUCUUUUUUUUUCUUGUUAUUUUAGUUGCUUAUAUAUCACUUCUGUUAACAUUUUCAGGUUUUCAACAAUCUUCAAUUACGAUAGCAACUUGAUUCCUAGGAUUUGGAAUAAGAAGGGAGACAUUAGUUGUCACAUUCCAGUCUCGGCUCCGCUGUAGCAUGAUAUUGUCCAUUUUGGGUUCCGGCCACUCUCUCACGAUUUUGUUUCUGGGAACUCAUACGAGAACUUCCCAGUGGAUCACCCAUCUUGGGAUUGCUCUCGUCCGAACUCGCUUAACUUUGGAGUUCCGAUGGAACUCAAAACCAGUGAGUUCCCAAAAGACCUCAUGCAAUAUGGAGGUAGUCAUGUACAUAUAAGACACAUUACCCCCUCUAUGUUGGUCAGUGUGUGAUGUUACAUUAAUACCAUUACGAAGGAUGCUCGAUCCGCUGUAAUUAUUUAGAAACUUAAUGGAUGGAGGUAUAACCUGUCUGUAUUUUGUUUGCGUUUAAACGAUAUCUUAGCAACUUUUUUCUUUUAUAUCUCUUUGAUGCAGUCUCUUAAGAUUUUGUUGGCUAUAGCUGCAAUUCGCUUGAGUGAGAAGCCAAAUAACAUUGAAAAGGUUCUCUUUUCUUUUCUAAUGGAUGGAACUAAAGCCUCUAUAGUCUAUAGAUCCUCUUACAUCAAAACACUUGGGAAGAGGUACUGUGUAUAAGGAUUUUUUUUUCUUUAUCUCCAUAUGGAUAGACUUUCUAUUGUCAAACUAAUUUCUUAUCAAUAAUUAAUUCUGACUAUAAGGAAUUUUCCAUUAAUCUAGUUAUUCGUUCAGUCUACAAUUCGGUUGGAGUUGCCAAAGAUUCUUUGCAUAAAAUUUUAAUUUAAUUGGAUCCCUCAGUAAAAAGAGGGCUUCGAACUUAAAAAGUUUUGUGAGUUUUUGAACACUGAAGAUAAUAAAGUCCAUGGUUUUUGUAUUGGUUGUUUGUUUAUUCUUUUUAAACGAAUGAAAAUUGUUGGAUUUGUGAUCUAAUGUUUAUGUAUAGUAGUUAAAAACACUAGGAAAUGUGUCAGAUUCAACUUUAAAAUUCAGAGAUUUUGGACCUUGAAGCUUUUCUUAGGGAAUAAAAUAAAUAUCGGAAUCCUUCUUUUCCUAUUUAAAUGCUAAUUGUUUUAUUGUGAUUUUUUAUGUUUUCUUCGACUCAUGUUAUUCUUAAAUUAAGAUAGUGUUUUUUUGUUAGGGAGUGAAGAUGAAUUUUAGAGACAAUAAAACAAAAUCAGUAACAUAUAAACCUAAAAUUGCAAAUUAAUCCAAAAAUAACAAAUAAUUAGAUAAAAAGUUAUAGCCAUAUACAUUUCUAUAUAAUUUUUGAAAAAAAAGGAAAAAUGAUGUAAUAUGAAUUUGUCUGUCGGAACAUUAUAAUUACUUUAGUCUAAAGUAGGUGGAAGUGGCACUGUGCAAUUUUGGGGUACAUUUUAGUUUAUUUACGAAAUUGCCACUGAGUCUCUGCCCCCUGAUUUAGCGUUAUUUACAAAAUUGCCACUGGGCUUCAGAAAGGGUUUUGGGUCUUUGGGCUGGAAUUUCCGUUCAGAUUGGAGUUUUCGGUUCUGCGAUCCACAUCAUCGCUGUGUAGGAUCGCCGGCUGUGUGGGAUUUGGGGAGGGGAUGGUUACGUGUCCAUCAUCGUCGAAAGGUCUGCUUCGACUGCAACGUCUCCACUUUUCUUUCCGUUUCAAUUUGUCUCUCACAAGCCUCUGCUUCAGUCGCUCUCGAUCGUCGCCUUUUCUAAGGCGUCCGAGGGACAAAAACCGAAAGCCAAACCUCCACCACAAAUGAAGUCACGAACGCCACUCGCACUCACCCUCCACCGUUGCACACGAACCCAAUCAUAAUUCUGAAAUCCAAACACAACCCAGAUGUUAAUCUUUCAGAGAAUGGCAAUGGCCAUUUCUUCUUCCUUCCUCUCAAUCCCUCUCCCAAAGACCUCUUCUUUGCUUUCCCCAGUUAAACACUGCGCUUCGCCACUGAGCUCCGAGUUCAGGGCUCUGUCCCUCUACGACGGUAGAAAUGGAGUCUCCACCUCCUCGGCGAUGGCCACGGAGGCUCAGAUCUCGACCCAAGACGACAAAUUGAAGGAUG
rnacentral:lncRNA from 1 species